AGGUAAGUUGAUUUCUUCGGUAAUUUAGUUAUUUUAUUUUAUAUUUAUAAAUCAUUGUAAUUAUUGGUGAUGAUGUUCUUUGGUGAUUAACCAUUGCAACUAUGAUAACUCAUUGCAAUUACGGGUAAUAGUAGACUUUCUAGUGAUGAACCAUUGCAAUUUUUAAUGUGAAUCCUUGUAACUCUUGGCAAUGGUAGACUUUAAUGAUUAACCAUUGUAAACUUUUAUGGUAACAAUUUUAACUUUUUUUUUUUUUACAGCAAGACAUUUACAGACUCAUAUUGACUCUGUAAACCAAUUGGGUAACUCUGCAUCCAUGUGAACGACGAAAGACGGUUGCUUUCUAGCACUACGUGCUAAGCUGUCCGCCCGUUGAUUCUCCGCCCGAGGUACAUGAACAAUAUUUGAGUUGAGGAAACGUCUCCGAAGAAGCUUGAUAUCUUCCAGAUAACUUUCAAAAGCUGGCCAUUCUGCUGGUUCUGAAACCAUCUUCACCAAUUGAGAACAAUCUGUUACAAAUGUAACCUGAAACUGUCGUAAGUUCUUCAUACAUUCCAUUGCUCAAAUCAAAGCCUCUGCCUCCGAGUGUAGAGGUGAUAGACUUGCUCUUACAUUCCUUGCUCCUAAUAAUCC
rnacentral:lncRNA from 1 species